UUAAAACAAUAUGCCCAAGCCCAACAAUCCGAGCCCAAGUCUUAACCUGUGAACACUGAACAGCCCUUUAACCGUAAGGAUAAAAUGUAAAAACCCUACAAUCUCUUUUCAUUUCACAUUUCUGAUUUCUGAAUUCGGAUUUCUGUUCCAGCCUAAGAACAAGACAAGCAGAGGCUCAUGUUUCUUACAUAGUCACGGUCAUAGACUCACAGUAAAGGCUCAAGAGCAACCUCAACUCUUCAAGAACAAGGCUGUCAAAUUUUGAGAAGAUGAAAAGGGCAGAGGUUGAACAUUUGGAGGUUCCUAAAGAUAGUUCAGUAACACCAACAUCUGUUGUAACUGGAUUGCAAGAGAUGUGCUUGCUAUUCCUACAUCUACUAUUGCCUCGGAAUCAGCUUUUAGCACCGGUGGUCGGAUACUUGAUUGUUAUCGAAGUUCUCUAUCGACAAAGACAGCUGAAGCUCUUGUUUGUUGUCAAUAAUGGUUGCGGUCAACAUCUAAAGAAUGCAAGCUUGAAGACCUUUUAGAAGAAAUUCAAAAUCUUGAGAUCGCUGAAAAAGAUUCUCUGGGCACUGUUUUGAGCAUUGAUUAGUUUGGAGCUUAAGCUAAGGAAGAUGGUCGAAGUACUUUUGAUUAUAUUAUGGAUUCUCUAGUUAGUUUAGUUUAAAUAUGUAAGUUUUUCAUUUUUAUGGAGAAAGUUGUUUGUAUUUUAGAACCUCUGUUUGACUUGUUCUUUUGAAUCUAAACUGCUUUGCAAGUUUGGUUCACCUGAUUUGCCGUCAGCUUGUGGGCAGUGAGGAAAAAAGAGCUUCAUAAGAAAUUUGAAGAAUGUAGAGAUAGAAUAUUUGAAUUGUCGCGGCUAGUCAUAAACCGAAAAACCGAACCAAACCGAACCAAACCGACAAUAACCAAACCGGUGGUUAUUAUUUUACUUGGUUUGGUUAUG